rnacentral:rRNA from 1 species
GUGGGGAAUCUUGCGCAAUGGGCGAAAGCCUGACGCAGCCAUGCCGCGUGGAUGAUGAAGGUCUUAGGAUUGUAAAAUCCUUUCACCGGUGAAGAUAAUGACUGUAGCCGGAGAAGAAGCCCCGGCUAACUUCGUGCCAGCAGCCGCGGUAAUACGAAGGGGGCUAGCGUUGCUCGGAUUUACUGGGCGUAAAGGGCGCGUAGGCGGACAUUUAAGUCAGGGGUGAAAUCCCGGGGCUCAACCUCGGAACUGCCUUUGAUACUGGGUGUCUUGAGUAUGAGAGAGGUGUGUGGAACUCCGAGUGUAGAGGUGAAAUUCGUAGAUAUUCGGAGGAACACCAGUGGCGAAGGCGGCUCACUGGCUCGAUACUGACGCUGAGGUGCGAAAGCGUGGGGAGCAAACAGGAUUAGAAACCCUUGUAGUCC